UUUUUUAAAAAUUUUUUUUAUGGGAGCAAUUUUUGUUUUCUUUUAGCCUUUUCGGAGGGGGAAAGACAAUUUUUGCUUAUCCAGUUAUAGUUGAGAUAAGCUUAUUAACAGUAAGAAUAGUAUGUCUCUUCUUUUUGCAUUGCACUGUCUUAGUACAAUCUCACACACACACACACACAGAGGGAGAGGGAGAGAGGGAAGGAGGGAGGGAGGGAGAGAGAGAGAGAGAGAGAGAGAGAGAGAGAGGUUCCCUAAUGUUUACAUUCACCAUGGAACUCUUCAUUCAAAUAAAAGACACGGUUCUAGAAAUCUGCAGCACUUCCUGCUGUGUGUGGCAAGGCCUAGGAACCUAGGUUACCAUGGAAACUAAUAUCCAGCCACUGGAUGGCACUUCCGUUUAGAGCUGCAUUGGAGUGCAUUUCACAGUUCAGUACAAUGGUGCUUCUUUCUCCCCUUAAAAUAAGGGGAGGGGGAGGGGGAGGUUAUUAAAAAAAGAUGAACAAACCCCACUGGUCUGCUGAGGCAAAAAGUAACCCUUCACACACCCUGUUAACGCACUUAACACCGUCCUUUGAACUGCUGUGGGGCCGUUUCCCAGAGGUAGCCAGGGAUACCUGAUCCAGUACAAAAAAAUGGUGGAGGGGGUCAUGAUGAUCCCGCUCCCUCUGUGGUGCCCCGACAGGAGGACUGACCCCUGGCACUGACCUGCCGACUCCAGCUGGUUCUGCCUCCUUCUGUGCCAGAAGGGCUUGGUGGCAGACAAAGGAUGUGGCCAGCCUGAGCUUCCAGCCUGACUCCCCCCCCCCCCCCCCAGCCCCCAAUCUCUCAGAAUCGUCCUAGAGCCCAGGCUCUCUACCAGGAUCUCAGCCCUUGAUCUGUGAUUUCGUCAUGUGAUCGCCAUCUGUGCUGUGGAAAGGCAGAUGCUAAUUAGGAGAGCGGCAUUUCAUUUGGAUGAUACGGUGUAAACCCAAGUGCAACACUUGUUCCUUGUCCUGGAACUGGAGGGAGUGAUGGGCUGUGUAAACAUAACCCUUGACCUCCCAGGGACGGUGGCUCUCCUGGACUCUGGAUCCAGGUGGGUUUAUGGAGUUUGGGGGCGGGGGCGGUCCUGUGUGGAAGAUGACAGUGGCCCAGGUGCCUUUGCCCUUCUGCUGACUUCUGGCAGUGACUGAAGAAGACUGAGUUUCAUCCUAGUUUAGGUAGAAGCCUAUUGCUCGGGCAUCCUUUUGGCCUUUCCAAAUGAGUUUGUAUAAAGCAGAAAUCAGGGAGUGGAUAUCUUCUAGAAACAGGUGCCUGGGGCCUUUGCCAUCACAGAUGGUAAGAGUCUGGCCAGCCUCGGCUUUGAGCCUUUACCACAGGUCUUGAACUUGGACGAUUCUUACCCAGCUCAGGUGGUAGGUAGGACCUAAUCUGUAGAUGAGGAAACUGGCUGGGUGGUGUUCAAAACAGCAUGGCCACGCAGUUGUGUAGCUGCACAGUUUGGAGGGUUUGCGUCCCUGGGGUAUUUUGGCCCUCUGUUCUUUCCACCCUUGGGAUCAGUCAUACAGAACCAUUUGAUUAGACUUUAGAUCUGGGGUUCUUGACUUCAAGGCUGGUGACUUCAGGCGAGCUCAUUCUUUGUGAUGAGCUAGCCUGUUUUGCCUUCAGGUUGAUAAGUAAGAAAAGGCCUCUAACCAGUGCUAGGUGUCUCUUGAGUGAACAACACCCCUAGCUGAAAAACGCUAAACUGGACUU
rnacentral:lncRNA from 1 species